GAGAUCCCUCCGUCCGAAAAUACUUGUCAUAAAAAUGAAUAAAAAGAGAUGUAUCUAGAGCUAAAAUACAUCUAGAUACAUCCCCUUUUGUUUAUUUUGAUGACAAGUAUUUCCGGACGGAGGGAAUACCAU
rfam:Triticum aestivum genome assembly, contig: Triticum_aestivum_CS42_TGACv1_scaffold_061340_1DL